UUACACAUGCAAGUCGAACGGCAGCACAGGAGAGCUUGCUCUCUGGGUGGCGAGUGGCGGACGGGUGAGGAAUACAUCGGAAUCUACUCUGUCGUGGGGGAUAACGUAGGGAAACUUACGCUAAUACCGCAUACGACCUACGGGUGAAAGGGGGCGCAAGCUCUUGCUAUUAGAUGAGCCUAAGUCAGAUUAGCUAGUUGGUGGGGUAAAGGCCUACCAAGGCGACGAUCUGUAGCGGGUCUGAGAGGAUGAUCCGCCACACUGGGACUGAGACACGGCCCAGACUCCUACGGGAGGCAGCAGUGGGGAAU
rnacentral:rRNA from 1 species